rnacentral:rRNA from 1 species
AUUGAGCGCUGGCGGCAGGCCUAACACAUGCAAGUCGAAUGGUAACAGGAAACAGCUUGCUGUUUCGCUGACGAGUGGCGGACGGGUGAGUAAUGUCUGGGAAACUGCCUGAUGGAGGGGGAUAACUACUGGAAACGGUAGCUAAUACCGCAUAACGUCGCAAGACCAAAGAGGGGGACCUUCGGGCCUCUUGCCAUCAGAUGCGCCCAGAUGGGAUUAGCUAGUAGGUGGGGUAACGGCUCACCUAGGCGACGAUCCCUAGCUGGUCUGAGAGGAUGACCAGCCACACUGGAACUGAGACACGGUCCAGACUCCUACGGGAGGCAGCAGUGGGGAAUAUUGCACAAUGGGCGCAAGCCUGAUGCAGCCAUGCCGCGUGUAUGAAGAAGGCCUUCGGGUUGUAAAGUACUUUCAGCGGGGAGGAAGGGAGUAAAGUUAAUACCUUUGCUCAUGGACGUUACCCGCAGAAGAAGCACCGGCUAACUCCGU